GAUGAACGCUGGCGGCGUGCCUAAUACAUGCAAGUCGAGCGAACAGACGAGGAGCUUGCUCCUUUGACGUUAGCGGCGGACGGGUGAGUAACACGUGGGUAACCUACCUAUAAGACUGGGAUAACUUCGGGAAACCGGAGCUAAUACCGGAUAAUAUUUCGAACCGCAUGGUUCGAUAGUGAAAGAUGGCUUUGCUAUCACUUAUAGAUGGACCUGCGCCGUAUUAGCUAGUUGGUAAGGUAACGGCUUACCAAGGCAACGAUACGUAGCCGACCCGAGAGGGUGAUCGGCCACACUGGAACUGAGACACGGUCCAGACUCCUACGGGAGGCAGCAGUAGGGAAUCUUCCGCAAUGGGCGAAAGCCUGACGGAGCAACGCCGCGUGAGUGAUGAAGGUCUUCGGAUCGUAAAACUCUGUUAUUAGGGAAGAACAAACGUGUAAGUAACUGUGCACGUCUUGACGGUACCUAAUCAGAAAGCCACGGCUAACUACGUG
rnacentral:rRNA from 1 species